rnacentral:rRNA from 1 species
AGUGAACGCUGGCGGUAGGCCUAACACAUGCAAGUCGAACGGCAGCACAGUAAGAGCUUGCUCUUACGGGUGGCGAGUGGCGGACGGGUGAGGAAUACAUCGGAAUCUACUUUUUCGUGGGGGAUAACGUAGGGAAACUUACGCUAAUACCGCAUACGACCUACGGGUGAAAGCAGGGGAUCUUCGGACCUUGCGCGAUUGAAUGAGCCGAUGUCGGAUUAGCUAGUUGGCGGGGUAAAGGCCCACCAAGGCGACGAUCCGUAGCUGGUCUGAGAGGAUGAUCAGCCACACUGGAACUGAGACACGGUCCAGACUCCUACGGGAGGCAGCAGUGGGGAAUAUUGGACAAUGGGCGCAAGCCUGAUCCAGCCAUACCGCGUGAGUGAAGAAGGCCUUCGGGUUGUAAAGCCCUUUUGUUGGGGAAGAAAAACAGCAUGUUUAUACCCCGCUGUUCUGACGGUACCCAAUGAAUAAGCACCGGCUAACUUCGUG